AUUGAACGCUGGCGGCAGGCUUAACACAUGCAAGUCGAGCGAGCGGCGGACGGGUGAGUAAUGUCUGGGAAACUGCCUGAUGGAGGGGGAUAACUACUGGAAACGGUAGCUAAUACCGCAUACCAUCAGAUGUGCCCAGAUGGGCUUAGCUAGGAGGGGGGGUAAUGGCUCACAUAGGCGACGAUCCCUAGCUUGUCUGAGAGUAUGACCAGCAACACUGGAGGUGAGACACGGCCCAGACUCCUACGGGGGGCAGCAGUGGGGUAUAUUGCACAAUUGGCGCAAGCCUGAUGCAGCCAUGCCGCGUGUGUGAAGAAGGCCUUCGGGUUGUAAAGUACGUUCAGCGAGGAGGCGUUAAGCGCAGAAGAAGCACCGGCUAACUCCGGGCCAGCAGCCGCGGUAAUUC
rnacentral:rRNA from 1 species